AUGCCGGAGCUAGUAAAUAUAAACCAGUCGGCCUUCAUUAGAGGGAGAAGUAUACAUGAUAACUUCUUAUUGGUUAGACAGAUGGCGAGGAGGUUGCACAAGAGGAAGGUCAAAGGGGUGCUUCUCAAGCUCGACAUCACCAGAGCGUUCGACUCGCUGUCUUGGCCCUUUCUUUUUGAAGUGUUGAGAGCUAAGGGGUUCUCGGAGAGGUGGAGAUCUUGGGUGGCAACGUUGCUAUACACGGCUACUUCCAGAGUGCUGGUGAACGGUUGUGCGGGGGAGAAGUUUUCCCAUGCGUGCGGGCUCAGGCAGGGGGACUCGCUCUCGCCGCUUCUGUUUGUGAUUGCAAUGGAAGUGCUCACGGCUAUCAUCUGCAAGGCGCAUGAGGAUCAGGUGCUGGCGAAAAUCAACGGAUGUGGCCCGACGCAGCGGCUUUCGCUGUAUGCCGACGACGUGGUUCUUUUCGUCAAGCCAACGAGAUCGGACCUGGCUUUUGUGAAAGAGGUGCUCAACAUUUUUGGAGAAGCAUCAGGUCUGAGGGUGAACUUUGAGAAAUCUUCAGCGAUCUUGAUCUGA
rnacentral:rRNA from 1 species